GUAAUUUGGGUAGGGAUAAAAAGAGAAGGGGGGAAGCUGCAAGUCCUUAAAUCUAGAUAUGGUUUCCCAGAGUCUUGACUUGCCCCCUGGGCUACACAAGAAUCUCAGGAUGGGCUUUGUGUGCCUGCUGUCCUAGGAUGCUGCUGGAGGCCCCCUGUUCGUAUGCCAGGCUCCCUGUGGUACUGGGCUGCAGGGUUUUGUCAUGAUCCACUGACCCUGCCAGAAAAUGCUUUAAUGUUUCUGGUUCUGCCUUAAAUGUGCAGACAGGAAGGCAGGUACACAUCCUGCUCUGAGCCUGAAUACUGAAUGCACUCCUGGGAGAGGCGCUGCACCUCCUGCAGCGUUGGAACCUGAGGAAAUUGGCCACCAGGAGCUGUGAUUUCCAUCUCCUGUGAUCCUCCAGCUGUUCCAGCUCUCUGUGUGCUGUGAGUAUGGCAUUGCUGAAAUGAUAAAACACCUGAUGCGGACAACUCUCAGCUAUUUAAUCAGUGCACUGAGGGAAAGAGUUGGAUAUAGAUGCCAUGGUAGACAUGGUAUUUCUGAAAGGUUUCCUGCAGAAGCUUUAUAUAAAGCCAAGCCUCUGGCUGGGGUUGCUCCAAAACCAUUCAUCAUCCUCUGCCUGGAAAGAGAUGUGUUUCUAUACCAUGUUUCUAUCCAUCUUCAAGGGCUUUGAGCCCAAAGGUGUCUGUGCUUGUGGGCUCCUGCCAGGUGAACUGAAGAUUGUGAGGAGAUGAGGAGCACGAGCACUUCUCUGCAGGUUCCUCUACUCCACCUGAUGGCCACAGAAUUCUGAAGGUUGGAAAAGACCUUUCAGAUCAUCAAGUCCAGCCAUCAAUCCAGCACCAUGUUCACCACUAAACCAUGUCCUCAAGUGUCACAUCCACAAGGUUUUUUUGAGCACUUCCAGGGAUGGGUGACUCCAUCCCUGUCUGGGGCAGCCUGUUGCAAUGCUUUACAAACCUCAUUGUUACCUUCUGGGUGCAAUUAACAGUUUGGAUUUAUGGUGUUUAUAUAAGAGUUGUGAAGAGGAGUUGUCUUUGUUGGCAGUUUAGUGUUGUUAGGCCUUUGGCUGAGUCUCACACUAGGAAAGGAGACAUCUGGCAACAGCAAACCCCACUUUUGUUCUGUUCCUCAUAAUUAAGCUUUUGUUUACCUUGAUGUUUUCUGAGGUAUUAUUAGUUCAAUUUUUGGUUUUAAGCCUUUCCUAGGGGAAAAGUGGGUUUAAAGUGUGAUUUAAAAUCAAAUUGGUUUUUUUAUUCAACUGUGAGUCAGUCGAUUGCAUUUUGCAACUGCAUACAAAGGCCUUAAUUUCAACUCUGAGUAAGAGGGGAUAUUUUUUUGUGCUGUCUCUAUUCAGCUGUCUCUAUUCUUUUAAAAAAGGAGCUCAGUGAGCUCUCCUGGCUUCAGGUGUGCAGUGACUUCUGUGAGAAUGCAGCUGUGGUCAGAGCUACUGGUCAGGACAUGUAAGAUAAGACUCAUGAAAUAAAACUAGACCCCCUGCAUUAAAAGGAAACUGUAGUUAAGUCAGGUGCUGAGCUCACUUGCUAUGGCAUCUGGCAUGGAUCUGUCAUUGCUUAGCUGGGGAGCUGAGCCAGCCACAGGCAGCUUUUGGAAACAAAUAGGGGUGAAAAAGGAUUUGUCAUAAAAUCUUCACUCUUCAAACAAGGGUGUGCAAGUGGCCAGCAUCUUUUCUGGACAUUUCAUGAUGUUUUUUAUGAAUUGAGCCAGAGUGCAACAUCGUCUCUGUUGUCCACACACGCACAUCCAAAGCUGGUCCAGAUGCUGCUCAAGGCAAGCUGGCUUAUCCAUUUCUUUGGGGAGGGAUGUAUUUGAGCUCUGAGAAAUGCACAUCAAAAGCUGCAGAUAAUCAACAUCCCCCUCCAGUGAGAAGAUAAACUCCAUGUUCUUGGCAUUUCUAUGUGUCCGAGAAAGGGCUUGGGUGAGGCUUGUCAGCUGUUCCCUGGUCAGGGAAUGAAGGAGGCUGCAGGACUGCUUCCUGCACAAACUUGAUUCCAGCCCUGGUCCUACCUCAGAGCCAUGGGUGUAACUGGUGAGGCAGUGUCACUGUAUGGGUUUUAUCUCAUCUCUCAGAUAUCCUCCCUUUGAACUCAUGUUGUUUAAGCUGGAAGGGAUCGCCCAGCCCAAACCCGCUCCUGCAGCAGGGUCACUGAGAGCAGACUGCCCAGCUGGGAUCUGAAUAUCCUCACAGCUGGAGAUUCCACAGCCCCUCUGGGGGACCUGUUCCAGUGUGUGACCAGUCUCGUGGUCAAAAAGGGUUUUCUUGUGCUCAGAGGGAAUUUCAUGUGUGUGUUUGUGCCCCAUUCCCUCCCAUCAGGUACUUGGGCACAUGGAUAUGAUCAUCCCUGAGCCUUUUCUCCAGGCUGAGCAGUCCCUGCUCUCUCAGACUGUCCUUAUGUGAAAGAUGCUCCAGUCCCUUCAUCCUCUUUUGGUCCUUUGCUGGAUUUUCUCCUGUAAAUCCAUAUCUUGUACAGUGGGAGCCCACAUUUAACAACACUCCUCCAAGUGGAGCUUCCCUACUAUUGGGUACAGAGGCAGGAUCUCCUCCCUCCUCACCCUUCAGUCUCUUCAGAAAAGGAAUGAACUUGUGCCUUUCAUUUACAACCAUGGUAAUAAUUAGGAGUACGAACAAAAAACCCCACUCCAAACCCAGCUGUGUAAAAAGCAUUAUUUCCAAUGCAGCUGGGAUAUGGUUUUAAGUAUAUUUUCAUGGACAGACUUCUUGACUCAGAAAAGUACAGGGAAAGAGAGGGAGAGACUGGAAACUACUGAACACAGAUUUUUUGUGAGUGGUGUGCAUUGCAGUGAUGGGCUGUAGGGGGGAAAAAUGCAUUUGUUUUUAUGAGAAAAUAACUAGGGAAGGAGCAGCAGGGGAAAGGGAGUGCUACAGGAAUAAAUGGCUACAAGGAAUUGGAAAGUCAGAUGCUGGAAAGGGUGAGAAUUUGUUCUGGCUAAAUGAAUGGGUGGAAAAUACUAUUGUCCAAAAGUGUAAACUCAAAAUAUUGCUAUUUUUAGACUUGUUAUUUCUGUUUGGUUUUUUUUCUCAGUGGGUUAUUUUGGCUCUAGUGACCUGGAGGUGUGAUUUUGUAGAUGCUUAAGAUACGGCAGCCAAACUUAAUUUGCAGAGCAGAGUCUGGUCUUUGCAGUGACAGUACCACUGGUGUGAUUUUUUUUUUUGUGUCUUGGUUUGAAAGACAGGUAUCUGCCAGGGAGGGGCAGGGCCUCUCUGGG